UACAGAGGAGCCAAGCGUUGUCCGGAUUGACUGGGCGUAAAGCGCACGCAGGCGGGUGUGGGCGUGGGGGGUGAAAUCUGGCCGCUUAACGGCCAGGCGCCAUCCCAUACGGCACGCCUGGAGUGAUGCAGAGGUCGAUGGAAUUGCCGGUGUAGUGGUGAAAUGCGUAGAGAUCGGCAGGAACACCCAGGGGGAAACCAGUCGACUGGGCAUCUACUGACGCUGAGGUGCGAGAGCGUGGGGAGCGAACCGG
rnacentral:rRNA from 1 species